GGGGAUUUAGCUUAGUGGCAUAAGCGCCUGUCUGGCAAGUGACAGGUCAUGAGUUCAAUCCCCA
rnacentral:tRNA from 1 species